GGAAGGAUGCCCGAGCGGCAAGGGUUCCGUCUUGAAAACGGUGGACUGGCCUAGCGGUCAGCGUGGGUUCGAUCCCCACUCCUUCCG
rnacentral:tRNA from 1 species